AUUUGCUGACUGGUCGAUGCUAGAUGAUCUUGAGACCCUGUGCUGAGGACUGGAGAACUACAGGAAAGGAGCAGUAUCUCUGAAUUAUCGUGUGGAAGGUCACUUGUCUAGCCCCUGAUGACUGUGAGUUGAACAAAUUAGAGACUGGAGUGUUUUGGGUAGCCUUGCUAUAUGGCAUGGUCGAAGACGGUGCUUCGCAGGUGAUUUACAACCCUCCUACCAUUUACUCUGUCUUCAUUUCAAGCAGUAUAACCUAUAAUUUCCUAAUCUUCAGCAGAAUAGGAAAAGGGGCUCAAAGCCACAAACACACACGCUUCCUUUCAAUGUACCUUUGUUGCUCAGCCACAGUGGCGAGUUCACGCGCCUGGCAAGACCUCUCCCUAUUUGGGCAUUUUGUGAAUACAGAAGAAUGGGCGCCCUGGUGUGACCCAACAUCAGAAUCCAAAACAUGGCAUCUUUACCUAGCCCUUUUCGCUUCUUUUAGAUCAUUCAAUAAACAUAAUCUGUUUUCUUUCAAAAUAACAUGGUUAUCUAAUUCCCUUCAUUAGCAGCUAGCAAAAGAGGCCCUGGGCUUCCCGUGAGCUAAUUCACUGGGUCCCUGAGGUCGUUGCGGGCUUUCCCUCUCACUCUUGCAACAGACACAAUCUCACUUCUUUAAUGUAAAGUAUGGUUUUUCUGUCGAAAUGUGCUUCCUGUUUUCUUUAUCGUAACUUACAGGCAUGAUUGCCUGGGUCUUCUCUCAUUAUUCCCAGUCCACUGCCUCUUCAUAUUUAGUGGUACUUCUGUCUUACUGGUCCCUGGAAAUUUAUCUCAGAUCAUUUCCUUUUGGGUCUAUCUCUUCUUUAAGAGAAAUAAUUUUAAAGUCAAAGCUCCAUAAUACAGAGAUCUGUUCUCUUUCCCACCAUCUGUUUUCUGAACCUCCCCUCCUGGUUCAAGCCUCUGUAGGAUAAUUUGAACACAAACCAUUGACUGCCAACUGAAAUCGAACAAGAUAAUGUCCAAUUUGCCCUUUUUUCUCUCUGAUUUGUCCCAAUGUUUACAUUUCUCCAUCAAUCAAUGAACAAAUCACUUUGGUACAGUGUGCCAGUAGCUUUGAGAGGAGCACAGAAGCAAUACAAGCAAGCUCACCAGUAACUUAUGAGGCUCGCUUACCCAAAGCCAUUCAAGAAUAAGACAGUAGAUAACACCAGCCACCUGGUGUAUAUAGAAAGUGCAUUCAGAGGGCCGGGCACGGUGGCUCACGCCUGUAAUCCCAGCACUUUGGGAGGCCGAGGCGGGCAGAUCACGAGGUCAGGAGAUCGAGACCAUCCUGGCUAACACGGUGAAACCCCGUCUCUACUAAAAAUGCAAAAAAUUAGCUGGGCGUGGUGGUGGGCGCCUGUAGUCCCAGCUACUCGGGAGGCUGAGGCAGGAGAAUGGCAUGAACCCGGGAGGCGGAGCUUGCAGUGAGCCGAGAUCGCGCCACUGCACUCCAGGCUGGGCGACAGAGCGAGACUCUGUCUCAAAAAAAAAAAAAAGAAAAAAGAAAGUGCAUUCAGAAUUGGGGAGGGGAGAGAUCAAUGUGUGUUAGAGCCAAGGAAACAUUUAGUAAAGAUGGAAUUUAGCCCUUAAGGACUGUCAGGCCAGAGCAAUAGGAAGUACAAACAUUUCAUAUGUAGAGAAUAACACGAACAAGGCACAAGAGCAGAAAUAUGAGUAACAGCCUCAGUGGGUCCUAUUCGUUAUGCACCUAUCAUGUCCCUUGCACUAUGCCGGGCCCUUUGCACUCAUUAUAUACGAUGCUCACAGCAAUCCUGAGAUUGUGAGGCGGGUAUUUUACAAAUACAAGAAGUCAGUUUUAGAGAAGUACUAAAUGGCAGACUCAGGAUUCAUGUCUGCACUUCAUUCACUGCGUAGGAAGGUGAGGGUGGUUAAGGAGGUGCCACUCUGGGAGCAGAAGGCAGUCACUGGAGCAGAUCAGUGGAGCUACGUUACGGAGAUCCGGGAUGGUCCGUGAGGAUGCUGGGCCUCACCUGGUAAGCAACAGGGACUGCUGUAGAAGCUUUAGCACAGAAAUAGGAUGACAAACUUUAGUCAGACAAAAUCUGAGUUCAAGGCCGUGUUCUGUGUUAGCUGUGUGACUGGGAACCACCGUUAAACCUGCUGAGAUUGUUUCCUCCUCUAUAAAAUGUGUUCAACAGCAAUAUCAAUGUAUAACAUUGAAAGGCUUAAAUGAGAUUUUACUAAAGCACCUGAGAUAUAGUUAGCAUUUACUAUAUGAUAGAGGUUGUUGCUGUUACUACUGCUACUACCACCACCACUGCUACCACAACAGCACUUAAGGAAGGAUGAUAAUCUGGAGAAAAACAGCUAACAGAUAUUUCGUGAAGACAUGAAAUGAGAUGGCAUAGAUAGAUAGAUAGAUAGAUAGAUAGAUAGAUAGAGUUAUAUGCCAUUUGGUUAUAUAUACAUAAUCAAAACUUGACUCUGGGAGUAUAGAUGAAUAAAGGUGAAUUAGAAUCUAGUAUAAAGAGAGAAGAUCGGAGAAUGAGGAUUGACACAUCUGGGGCACCCACAGUUGGGGAGCGGGACACGGGAGAGAGUCAGUGACAGACACAAGGAAAAUGCAGAGGAAGAGGUAAGAUGGUCACGUAGACCACAGCAGUCAGGUAACAGAAGAGGUUCCUCAAAAGGCUAGGGAGGUCUACUGUGCCCAGGGCUGCUGUGGGGAGAAAAGAUUGAGGACUAGGAAAAGGCUUGUGCAGUUGGGGCAGUGACAACAUGGAACACAGACUGGGAGGAACCAGGUGGGAAUAAAAGACACUGGCCACAGCCACAGGCACUGCUCAUUCAUCUGAGGUGUAAGUAUAGAGAGAGAACUCGGCUGUGGCUUGGAAGUAACAGCAAGACAAAGAAGGAGGUUAUUUUUAGUUCUUGGAGAGGCCAAUACCGCUGGUAAUCAUGAGCGAGCUUCAGUUCAUCUCUACCCCUUACUAUGGUGCAACUCCUCAUGGACUGGUUCCUGAGCCUGCACCCUCUUAGGGUGCAGGUUAGUCCUGCACUUAGUCUGGCUUCUGUUAACUUGUUUUCUCUUUCAGGUCUCACUGUUGCUAACCCCACUCAUCAACUUGAUCUGUUUGCCCCCAAUCCCACCAUUUUGCAUGACAUUAUGGAUCCUCUGAUCUUUAACAAAUCCAUCCAAGAUUGUCUGUUUCUUCUUCUAAGGUGUCACCAGGAAUGAAGAUUCUUUCACCUAAUUUAUUUUUUUCUGGUUUCACACGUGUCUGAAAAAAUAAUAGCAAUUAUUAUUAUUAUCAUUGUAGGAUUCAUUUCACUCCUCUCAAACACAUUCAAAAAGUCUCUUCAUCUCUUCCAUCAUGGUGAUGCUCAACUGUUACCCAACUAUCCAACUGUAUCUUGGAGUUUUGUAAUUCCAUCAUGAGUUGUACUCAACUGUUAUCCAACAUAUCUUGGAGCAUGCACCAGGAUGCUCCCUGACACAGCUCACUUUGCAAGUAAUUCUUAGACACACACUUUCUCCACCAGGCCUGUCUAGUUGAAGUUCUCUAUAUCCCUGCCCCCCUCCCCACCCUGGUUAAGCAUAGGACUUCCAUGGUUACAUCCCAUUUAUUCCUUUCCCAAACAUGCUUAAUGCAUUUCAUCUCCAGUUACAAACAUCGUCUGCUAAUGAACAAUGUAGAUAGUUACCAUGUUGUAUAAAUAGUUACUUAUUUCCCUUCGUUGUUGGUUUUAUCCAAUAAACUAGCCCGAUCAGCUUCAUUUUAUAUCACCUUAUCUCAUACAGAUGAGAAACUGUAUGUAUUUCAGCCUGUCUAAACUGGAGGUAACGCUAGACUGCAGUAUCCCUGCACAGUGUCGUAUUAGAAAUGGCACCCUAUAAAUUUUUUAUGAGUUAAUAAUGAUUGUGAUCCCAUUCCUAUUUUCUACAAGUUCUUCUGUUAUGGUGGCAAUUAAAUAGCCUCACCUUCCUUUCACUUUCUGCAAACCUGCUGCAAGUCAUCAUUAACUUUCUUAAUUGGUAGCGGCUCUGAAUUCCAGUCUUUCAGAGUUCCCGUAAACAGCAUCUUUCUUAAUACUUAUGUCAUAAUGUUUUUCUCCUUUCCUUGCAUUUCAUUCUGCCUUUGGGCAGGAACAGCAUCAUUUCCUGCUCUUCUGGGGUUUCAACACUGACUGCAAAGCACCCUUGCUCAUCUCACUGGGAGAUUCUGCAGCCAAGCAGAGAUUUGCAUAAAGCCCAUCCACCCUUCACCAGCACAGGAUACGCAGACUUAACUGCAGGGACUCUUGGUGACUAGUCUCUGUGGUGCACACUCUCCACCCUACCACCAAAAAGGUCCCCAGUACCCUAAAAGGAACUAUGUACUCAAAUAUCACCUCAAAUAAGAUGAGGUCUUUCUGAGAGAAAAGAGAUGUUGAUGCACGUGACGGGGAGGGCAUAGGAGAGGGUUGAUAUAAAAUGCAAUUACAGCCUCUUAUGCUUUCCAAAGUGGGGGAUGAUUCAAUGAUUCCUGACUGGUCCACAGCCAUAUAUCAAUUGAGGUUAUAAUACUAAUUUGAAUUGCAAAUCUCUGAAAAGAAGGGGACAAGCUAAGGAGAUAAAAUUUAACAGGGUGAGUCCUGAAUUUAGAUUUAAACAAACUCCACAAGUAUAAGAAGGCAGAGGCUGGCAACAGUACUUGCUGUCAUGUUUAGUCGGCCACUGGUCAGUCUGAGACAGCAGUGGGUGUGAUCGUGUAGCAGCUAUGGAAAGCUUAUGCUGCAUUUAAUAAUAAUAGUCAUACUUUAAAGCAUGUUUCAGUUAUGAAUUCAUUCUGACCAGAAAAGUAACUUGCACUAGCUUAACAGUCAAAUAGCAAGAAGCAUAGAGAAGUGGCCGCUUGCUGUGCUUCAGCAGCUCAACAGUGUCUCUAUUCUCUUAGCCUCUUCCUCCUGCUUGCCACCUCUCAGUCACAAGACGGCUGCUGCGACUCAGGCUCAUGUCCCAAUUCAAGGCAGCAAGAAGGCCAUGGAGCGGCACCUGCCAGGUAUGUCCCUUUCCCAGGCAUCCCCAGCAGAUUUCUCACUGUCUGAAACUGCAUCCCACGGCGUUCUUAGGUGCGAGGCUGGUCUGGAGAGUCAAUGCUUGGGUUUUCCAAUACCUGCAUGGGACAUGGGCAAGAUGGAAGGGAGUUGGGUUUAGGAAACCAGUAGUGCCAGCCCUUUACUCGUAUCAUAUCUGAUCCCCACAGCAACCCUGAGGAGUAGCUAUUUAUCAUCCUUAUUGAGCAAAUGAAGAAAAUCAGAACCAGCAACAUCAAGAAAAAAUGAGGAAAGACAUACAUUAGUAAAUAAUAAAGCCAGGGUUCCAAUUCAGAUCAGGUUGAAUCCAAAAUUCCUCUCCCUGCCAUUAUAACGCAUCACAGUGUUCAGGUCAUGUGGGUCUGGGAAGGAUGAAUCAUAUUCAACUAUCCCACCACGUUUUUGGCCAUUUUUUAAAAACUAAAGUAUAACACACAUCUUGUUAUGUUAACACUGACAUCUUGAGAAUAUUAAAUCUUCCAAUCCAUGAACAUAGACUGUUUUUACAUUUAUUUGGUUUCUUCUUUGAUUUAUUUCAACAAAGCUUUGUAGUUUUCACAGUAUAAGUUUUGUACAUCUUUGUUAAAUUUACUUCUAAGUAUUUUAGAAUUUUUAUCUUAAGUGAAAUUACUUUCUUAAUUUCAUUUUUGGUUUGCUCAUUGCUACUGUAUACAAUACAAUUAAUAUUUGUACAUUGCUCUUAAUCCUGUAACCUUGCCGGACCUUAUUCAUUUUAAGUUUGUUCUUUGAAUAUGUGAAACAUUAAAAAGAUUUUAAAAGCCAGAACUAUACACAAAGGUAUUGUCCUUGUAAUUUUAUAUCUGAUUGGAAGAAUUCUCCACAGACUAGCUUCUGGCGAUGUACUUUUCAAACCUUGUUUUUCUCCACUACCCAUAUAUUUUCAUGCGAAUUCUGGGUACUAGGAGAUACAGUCAUACCACAGUAUGACCUCUGGUCCUGGACUUUAGUGUCACAAUGCUGUUUGAGUUAGUCAGUAAGCCAUAGGAGUAUUCCUGGAAGUCAUUUCUACACUGGGGUGCCCAGUAAUAACUUAACCAUGUGUUGAAGUUACUGAAAACCACAUCAUUAUAACCUACUCCACCAAAACUAAAUAUAGCUAUAACUCAAUUUCCCCUUAGCUGGGUCUCCAAAAUGCCCAGUAACACCUGACGCAAGGGGAUGUGAUGGAAGGGAGGCUGAAGUGAAGGUACAGCAGACUUAACUAGUUGUAGUAAAGAUACUUUACCUCUGAACAUUUACGAAACAUAUGACCAUGUGAACACAAUUCUGGGUCCCCUCUGGGGCCUCGGAAGAAGGUGUCAGUGCUAGUGAGGGGCUCUAAAAGUGAAAACUUCAUUAAAUUCAUUGCAAAUCCACCUUUCUACUCCAAUUCUCAGUUGUGUUCCUUUAUUUGCAAAAUACAAAUAAUAUUUGCUUUGCCUAUUUGAAAGGUUAUUGUGAUAUAUAAUGAAAUUUGUGUUUUUUUUAAAUUUAUAUUAUUAUUUAAUGCCUGAUUAGAGUUUUUGUGUAUUUCAUGCGUUAAGAGUUUUACAUGUAUUUUCCAAAAUUGGCUACAAUAAUACCUCCCUUCCCACAUUCUCUUCUUAUGGUGACUCUGACACUCCUCCACUGAGAGGACACUUUGCUCCCUCUCUUUGAAUUUGGAUGUCGUCUUGUGACCGCAGCAGAAGUGAUACUAUGACUCCAAGAGCUACGUCAUAAGUGGCAAUACAGCUUUCACUUGGCUCUCUUGAAAUCAAACUGCUGUGAGGAAAUUCAAGCCAUAGAGAAGCCCACAAAAGGAACAGACAGCUCCCUCCAACUUCCCAGCCAUGUGAGGGAGCCACUUUGAAAGUGGUCUCUCCAGGUCCCAUUAAGCUGACAGGGUGGAACACAGACAAGCUGUAGAUCCAUGAGCAAAAGAAAUGACUAUUGUUGUUUUAAGCCUUUAGAUUUUGGACUGGUGUAUUAUGCAGCAACUGAUAACUGAUACACCAUCCCAGCUUUCCAGUGAAAUCCCUCUCCACUCACGCCAAAAUGAGCUUCCCCCUGUUCUGCAGUACACUUUGCAAUUCCCCACCACUAUGGCUUUCUCAUGCCAUCUCUUCCAGAAUGUUUUCUGCCUACUGAAAUACGACUUAUCCUUAAAGUCCUCUCUCAAAUGCUGCUUCCUCUCUAAAGCUUCUCUCACUGCCCCCGCCGGCUUUCCUAUCUCCCUCUUCUGAAAUCCUGGAGACCUUUGAUUCUAUCUUUUAUACAGUACUUAUUGCCAGGAUUGAGAUUUAGGAUAUUUAUCAACUGACCCCUUCCUGGAUUAUCAGCCCUGGGAGCACUCUCUGCCUUGUGGCAAAGUUGGUUCCACACCUUUUCAGCUCCUCUUCUAGCCUAGAAGCACCUUAAGGGCAGGGUGCCUCAUAUAUUUUUCCUCCAUGCAAAACAUAGGUUUUUGCACAUAGUAAACUUCACACAUCAUCAUCAUUAUUACUAUUACUAUUUUUGAGUCAAAGUCUCACUCUUGUCCCCCAGGCUGGAGUGCAAUGACGCAAUCUCUGCUCACUGCAACCUCCGCCUCCUGGGUUCAAGUGAUUCUCCUGCCUCAGCCUCCCGAGUAGCUGGGACUAC
rnacentral:lncRNA from 1 species